GUAGGGAAUCUUCCGCAAUGGACGAAAGUCUGACGGAGCAACGCCGCGUGAGCGAAGAAGGUCUUCGGAUCGUAAAGCUCUGUUGUCAGGGAAGAACAAGUGCCGUUCGAACAGGGCGGUACCUUGACGGUACCUGACGAGGAAGCCACGGCUAACUACGUGCCAGCAGCCGCGGUAAUACGUAGGUGGCAAGCGUUGUCCGGAAUUAUUGGGCGUAAAGCGCGCGCAGGCGGUUCCUUAAGUCUGAUGUGAAAUCUCGCGGCUCAACCGCGAGCGGCCAUUGGAAACUGGGGAACUUGAGUGCAGGAGAGGGGAGCGGAAUUCCACGUGUAGCGGUGAAAUGCGUAGAGAUGUGGAGGAACACCAGUGGCGAAGGCGGCUCUCUGGCCUGUAACUGACGCUGAGGCGCGAAAGCGUGGGGAGCGAACAGGAUUAGAUACCCCUGUAGUCC
rnacentral:rRNA from 1 species